GAUGAAAGAGGAAGGCGAGACAGCAAAGGAUGCUCUGCCUAUACAGUCACUGUACGUAGAGUCCUUGGAAGUCCUGGGGAAGCUAAUGAAGACUUUGCUGGAGGAAGAACCAACCGCACACUGCUUCUGGGAAAUGUUUCAACUCCUAGAGACAUGGCUCAGUUCAGGGAAGGGGUGGGAGAGAGAAAGGGCCUUGCAGGCCACUAUCCAGCUGCUGACUGCCUAUCAAGAGACAGUUAAUAGC